rnacentral:snRNA from 1 species
AGCUAUUACAGCUCUUUCAGAAUUUUUUUUUUUCUAACAGGUUUUCUGACUUUGGUUAGAAAACUCAA